GACGGAGCACGCCGCGUGAGUGAAGACGGCCUUCGGGUUGUAAAGCUCUGUUAUACGGGACGAAUAAUCUUGUGGUUAAUACCCAUAAGAAGUGACGGUACCGUAAGAGAAAGCCACGGCUAACUACGUGCCAGCAGCCGCGGUAAUACGUAGGUGGCAAGCGUUGUCCGGAAUUAUUGGGCGUAAAGGGCGCGCAGGUGGCUUCUUAAGUCUGUCUUAAAAGUGCGGGGCUUAACCCCGUGAUGGGAUGGAAACUGGGAAGCUCAGAGUAUCGGAGAGGAAAGCGGAAUUCCUAGUGUAGCGGUGAAAUGCGUAGAUAUUAGGAGGAACACCAGUGGCGAAAGCGGCUUUCUGGACGAAAACUGACGCUGAGGCGCGAAAGCCAGGGGAGCGAACGGGAUUAGAUACCCCGGUAGUCUGGCCGUAAACGAUGGGUACUAGGUGUAGGAGGUAUCCACCCUUCUGUGCCGA
rnacentral:rRNA from 1 species